UAAUAAUAUAUUUAUUGGAGCAAAGAAAAGAAAAAUACACGACAAAAGUAUUCUCUAUUUCAUACACGGAAAACAACUGCUCGCUUUUCGAACGGCCGCGCAUCGACUUUCGCCUCGCGACUCUACCUACUCUGUAUUCGCGCGUCCGACUUCAUCGCGGUCUAUUCGCGGCCAAGUUCAUUCGCAACCCUUUCGAACAGUGCCGGCGCAAAAGGGGGCAAGAAAGCAGAAGAAAAAUCGCCGAGGAAGAAGAAAGAAGAAAGACAGAAGGAAAAGGAUGAAAAAAGUAACAUGGAACAGGGGACAACAACACAGUGUCCGUUUCUUACGGUCGAGCAGGUCACACCGAGGACAGCCGUGCGAAGGGUUAAUCGGGAUUUGGUAACCCAAAUUUCGGAACGAAUGCCCAGCCACAAAGCGGACGAAGAGGAGAUGGGGCGUUUAUCACGUGUCGAACGCGCGACACCUCCUUUAUCUUGGGUCGACGACGCGAUGGCUUCUACAAGCUGACAGGAGAUGCAUCCUUCUGGCGGUGAGUCCCGUGAGGAUCUUCCGUUUCUCAGGCAGCACGUUACUGUUAACGCCAGCGUUACAUCGUAAACGGGAACAUGUAUUAUAUCGUAUACAGAGUGCUUACAUAUGUUCGCAAAAUUCUAUGACAAGAUAUCGAGUUUCUACAUAACAUCGACUCCACGAAAACAACAUAACGUUUCCACAGUUAUUUAUAUACCC
rnacentral:misc_RNA from 1 species